rnacentral:rRNA from 1 species
UACGGGGGGAGCAAGCGUUGUUCGGAUUUACUGGGCGUAAAGGGCUCGUAGGCGGUCUGUCACGUCGGGAGUGAAAACUCAGGGCUUAACCCUGAGCCUGCUUCCGAUACGGGCAGACUAGAGGUAUGCAGGGGAGAACGGAAUUCCUGGUGUAGCGGUGAAAUGCGCAGAUAUCAGGAGGAACACCGGUGGCGAAGGCGGUUCUCUGGGCAUUACCUGACGCUGAGGAGCGAAAGUGUGGGGAGCGAACAGG